AAGUCGUAACAAGGUUUCCGUAGGUGAACCUGCGGAAGGAUCAUUAUUGAGUCCAUUCAUAUUCGUGAACUAAAUUUGCUUAGGUGGCUGCAAGGCUGCCGAAUUCUAACUCUAUUGAUUUGUCUGACUGAAAAUUAUAAUUUUAAAACUUUCAACAACGGAUCUCUUGGUUCUC
rnacentral:misc_RNA from 1 species